UUAAAUGAAUUGACGGGGCCGCACAAGCGGUGGAGCAUGUGGUUUAAUUCGAAGCAACGCGAAGAACCUUACCAGGUCUUGACAUCCCCUGACAACCAAGAGAUUGGCGUUCCCCUUCGGGGGACAGGGUGACAGGUGGUGCAUGGUUGUCGUCAGCUCGUGUCGUGAGAUGUUGGGUUAAGUCCCGCAACGAGCGCAACCCUUAUCCCUAGUUGCCAUCAGGUAAAGCUGGGAACUCUGGGGAGACUGCCGGUGAUAAACCGGAGGAAGGCGGGGAUGACGUCAAGUCCUCAUGGCCCUUACAUCCCGGGCUACACACGUGCUACAAUGGCAGGUACAGAGGGUUGCGAAGCCGCGAGGUGGAGCGAAUCCCAGAAAACCUGUCUCAGUCCGGAUUGAAGUCUGCAACUCGACUUCAUGAAGGCGGAAUCGCUAGUAACCGCGAAUCAGCAGGUCGCGGUGAAUACGUUCCCGGGCCUU
rnacentral:rRNA from 1 species